AGAGUUUGAUCAUGGCUCAGGACGAACGCUGGCGGCGUGCCUAAUACAUGCAAGUAGAACGCUGACUACUUUAGCUUGCUAGAGUAGAAGGAGUUGCGAACGGGUGAGUAACGCGUAGGUAACCUGCCUACUAGCGGGGGAUAACUAUUGGAAACGAUAGCUAAUACCGCAUAACAGUGUUUAACACAUGUUAGAUGCUUGAAAGAUGCAAAUGCAUCACUAGUAGAUGGACCUGCGUUGUAUUAGCUAGUUGGUGGGGUAACGGCCUACCAAGGCGACGAUACAUAGCCGACCUGAGAGGGUGAUCGGCCACACUGGGACUGAGACACGGCCCAGACUCCUACGGGAGGCAGCAGUAGGGAAUCUUCGGCAAUGGGGGCAACCCUGACCGAGCAACGCCGCGUGAGUGAAGAAGGUUUUCGGAUCGUAAAGCUCUGUUGUAAGAGAAGAACGUGUGUGAGAGUGGAAAGUUCACACAGUGACGGUAACUUACCAGAAAGGGACGGCUAACUACGUGCCAGCAGCCGCGGUAAUACGUAGGUCCCGAGCGUUGUCCGGAUUUAUUGGGCGUAAAGCGAGCGCAGGCGGUUUAAUAAGUCUGAAAUUAAAGGCAGUGGCUUAACCAUUGUUCGCUUUGGAAACUGUUAAACUUGAGUGCAGAAGGGGAGAGUGGAAUCCCAUGUGUAGCGGUGAAAUGCGUAGAUAUAUGGAGGAACACCGGUGGCGAAAGCGGCUCUCUGGUCUGUAACUGACGCUGAGGCUCGAAAGCGUGGGGAGCAAACAGGAUUAGAUACCCUGGUAGUCCACGCCGUAAACGAUGAGUGCUAGGUGUUAGGCCCUUUCCGGGGCUUAGUGCCGCAGCU
rnacentral:rRNA from 1 species